CGGAGGUGCAAGCGUUAUCCGGAUUCACUGGGUUUAAAGGGUGCGUAGGUGGAGUGGUAAGUCAGUGGUGAAAUCUCCAAGCCUUAACUUGGAAACUGCCGUUGAUACUAUCAUUCUUGAAUAUCGUGGAGGUAAGCGGAAUAUGUCAUGUAGCGGUGAAAUGCUUAGAUAUGACAUAGAACACCGAUUGCGAAGGCAGCUUGCUACACGAUCAUUGACACUGAGGCACGAAGCGUGGGAUCAAACAGGAUU
rnacentral:rRNA from 1 species